AGCGCAAGGGUGCGUAACACGUGGGCAACCUGCCCUGGGGACCGGGAUAGCCCGCCGAAAGGCGGAUUAAUACCGAAUAAGGCUACCGUGAGCAUUCACGGGACGCUAAAGGCGGCGCAAGCUGCCGCUCCGGGAUGGGCCCGCGGCCUAUCAGCUAGUUGGUGAGGUCACGGCUCACCAAGGCGAUGACGGGUAGCUGGUCUGAGAGGACGACCAGCCACACUGGAACUGAGACACGGUCCAGACACCUACGGGUGGCAGCAGUCGAGAAUUUUUCUCAAUGGGCGAAAGCCUGAAGGAGCGACGCCGCGUGGAGGAUGAAGGUUUUCGGAUUGUAAACUCCUGUCAUUGGUGAACAAAGCUGCCGGUUAACUGCCGAGCAGACUGCUAGUAGCCGAAGAGGAAGGGACGGCUAACUCUGUGCCAGCAGCCGCGGUAAUACAGAGGUCCCGAGCGUUGUUCGGAUUCAUUGGGCGUAAAGGGUGCGUAGGCGGCGGGGCAAGUCUGAUGUGAAAUCCCGGGGCUCAACCCCGGAACUGCAUUGGAUACUGCCUUGCUCGAGUACUGGAGAGGGAACUGGAAUUUACGGUGUAGCAGUGAAAUGCGUAGAGAUCGUAAGGAAGGCCAGUGGCGAAGGCGAGUUCCUGGACAGUUACUGACGCUGAGGCACGAAGGCCAGGGGAGCAAACGGGAUUAGAUACCCCGGUAGUCCUGGCAGUAAACGGUGCACGUUUGGUGUGGGAGGAAUCGACCCCUUCCGUGCCGGAGCUAACGCGUUAAACGUGCCGCCUGGGGAGUACGGUCGCAAGAUUAAAACUCAAAGAAAUUGACGG
rnacentral:rRNA from 1 species